UGCACUCAAGUUGUGUGCUCUUUUAGCCAUGCCCAUCCAUGGACUGGCAGAGAAAGUCUGGAGUUGCAUUCAGUCCAUUUUGCCUUCAAACAGUGCCCACCGUGGCUAGAUGCCCCAGAACAAGAGAUGUGGAGAGGCUCACCUGGCACAGAUGUGACAACAUGGGUGCUGGGUCUGACAGACCAACAAGCAGGAAGUCCAGAUCUUCCUGAAUCCAGACACUUCACAGUGCUUAAUGAGCAUGUGAGAAAAGCCACAAAAGGACAUUGCUUUGAAAGCAAAUGCUCGCUUGCAAUUUUGUAUGGAGCUACGGAGACUAAAAGCAGACCUGAGUGUUUUGCCUCUUGUGCUGAUAUGCUGCUGCAAUGCCCAUGAAAAGCUGAUAUCGACACCAUUAUACAGGGGGGACAAAACCACAGUCAAAAUGAACAGUGCCUGCAUCACCUGCUGAUUUAGAUCUAGCAUCCCAAGGAAGCAGAAACCCAGAUCACUAAAGAAAGGAGAUGGAUGGUUAUGCGAUGUGGGACACGCUUCACUAGAUCUGAUGCUCAUCUGGAGGCUCUCUCUCUCUGUGUAAAUCAAACCUGAUGACAGCUCUUGCUUCCUUUUUAUUAAGAUAUAAACAAUGCAAAGAAAAAACAAGUUUUCUAGCUCAUAUGGAGGCAAACAGAAACUAAUGUUAACGGAGAAAAGUAAAUGCUUCUAUUGCCUGGUUUCAACGUCCAACAUUGAUUCAUCCCCAGAAAAUACAGAUUUGCAUCAAUUCCAUACUUAUGAGCAUGAGGCUGAAUUGCAAGAGGAUAAUUUAGUGUACUGCUUCUUAUUAGGAUUAAGCAUAAUAUGGAAUCCUCCAAUUCUGCACUCUCCUAAUUAGACAGUCCACAGUCUACCUACAUACAUGGCAUGUGCAAUUCCUCCUGAAGCCAGACGGAUCCUUAUCCUUUAAGCAGAAGUUUUUAGGCAUCAUUCUGACUUUUAUAUCACACUGCAAAAAUGCAAAAGUCAGGAGUCCAGAAAAUAGUUUGGACUUCUUUAUUACCCUACUCAGUACUAUCUACAUUCUCUACACACAGUCACACUUGGUGGAAGUUACAGAGCUAGCUUCUCUUUGCUCCUUGGGAUAUCUCCCCAGAGCUGACAGCCAAAAGCUUCAUUUUGAACAUCUGGAACAGUAAAAGCGGAAAACAGCAGCAGCACCACCAAAUUCUGUGUAUCAGCUAUGAAUGCUUUCUUUCUCUCAUCAGCAUUUUGCGCUGUGCAGCACUAAAUGCUUCAGCUGAGAGUAUUAUCGUCAUGUGAGUGUGCUGACAUGCCCUCUGUGAAUGUUCCCAGAAGUACCAUCUUCCACAAGUUAUACUUGAAGCAGAAAGUGUGUCUAAGCUUUGUGCCUACCUACCUAAUCAAACUAGAAAUAUGAUUGAGAUCAUUGAGAAGAAAGUUUUUGUCAAUGUUCUCUUUCUUCUAAUUAGCUAUCAUUAUUGUAACUACCAACAACAUUUCAGAGGAAAGAUAUUAAAAGUUACAGCGAUAUCCUAGGGACCUUAUAAUCCAAAUUAGAGAAGGCACAUCAGCAGAUGGCAGGCACACAAAGAUGUGGAAAAUGGGAAAAGACUGUGAAGCAUUGUGCAUCAGAGCACGAGCUCCUUACCGUGUGUUUGGCAUUCAAAGGAGCUUGAAUCGUUUCAAACAUGGCAGUUAGCACGUCUUCCUGAACUUGUGGUUUCAGGCCAGGCAUAGGUUUAUGAAAUAAUUGCACAUUUUAAAGUAAACAAAUCCACCUAAGGAGGUGCUCAAAGAUGAGCUGGGGAAUGCUACCCUCCACAGGAGGGUUCCUAAAGGUGACAAACAUGGCAAGGAGCUUAAGAGCAAAGCCAGCACUACCCAGUAUUUCAGUUUUGCUUUGAAUGACACAAGAGAGCAGCCCUUGAGCCUCCUCUGAGACUGACAGAGGAGGAUGGCAACUGCCAGUUGCAUACCCCAUGUGAGCCAGGGUUUGACUCCUUCAGGCACAUACACACACACACACACACACACACAAACAAAGAAUGGAAGCAGGCAUGAACAUUCCUGUUAACUUUCCAGGAUGGAUAGGCAGGAGCCAGCUCAGAUCUGCAAACUCUGCCAAAGCAGCAGUAGAUAAACGCUUGGGCACAGCAUCUCACAAAUGGAGCUCCACAACUUCCAGAGCAGAGCUGGUUUGAUAUUGGCUGGCUCACAGAGUGGACAGGGAAGCUUACAGCUGUCUAUGCCCAUCUGUUUAGACAUGCCUUAAAAGCCCAACAGAAGCUUGGGCCAUCAACACCAGCUGAAAAGCGUGUCCUAAAUUUAGGGCAUUAAAACAAUUUGGCAGGAAAAAUACAACUAUUAGGCAACAACACAGAUUCUGCACCAAAAUUGUGGAAGCACCUCCAGUUCAUGACAUGUUAAGUUAUAGGCUAACUUGUCAAAUUAGUUUUAAACUCUGAGGGGAACAAAUUCUGACAAGGAAAAUAAACAAGGAGAAAACCAGUUUGCCAGAAUUAAAGAAACCUUCAGCACCAAGCAUUCAAUAGUAAUGGGAAAGCAGUGUUACUGGGACUACUGACAGCCAAGUAAUAAUAUCUCACCCUCAAAACAACAAUGAACAUCAUCUAUGUUUCUACCUAGACUGUUCAGGAGUAAAGGGAAAACAUCAGAACAUCCUCAGGUUCCCCUGCUUCCUGUGCUCUAAGACAUGAACUGCAACAGGAGAACAAGAUGUAAUCUGUGUCAAUAAUAUCCUUGUAGAUUAAAUGCUCAUUGAAAUCGAGUGUCUACCUAUUUCAUUUUUUUUUCGCCUCCCUUCUACUGGGUAAAUAACCUGAACAAGUAACCAGAAUAUAACUUUAAUAGAGUGGUUUUAUGGCUUCCCCCUCUGUCCUGCUACUGAGCUGCACUCAUGGGGAAGGUCUGGAAGGAGCAAGGAGAACUGAAUGUUGUGCUACAUGGGAGCUUGUGUCACGGAAUGCUGGGCAUUUAGAGGAGAAGCCAGACUACCUGCUGCCCAGUGGAUGCUGAACAGCACAGCUCUAGGCACACAUACACACACAACCAGCCAAGAUACAGGCCUUAGCAGAGACUUGGCAAAUUUUGUGACAGCUGAGUGACAGCUGAAGUAGAAACAGAUUGCCUAAUAACAGCACAGACAACCAUAUGGAGGACUGGACAUGUAAAUAUUAUUCAUGUGCAUGCUACAGUAAGUCAGCAGAACUAAUCUGCAGGAAAAAAUAUGCUGUGGUGACUUCAGUCUCAAACCUAAAUUGUGGUAUUUCAGGAUUCUGCAUUUCUUCCUUCUAGCUUCAGCAUUCCUCUUUCACUAUCCCUGCUUAGAAAUUGAAGGUUGCUUCUGUAUCUCAAUAGAUAGUCAUGAAAAUCCACAGUAAAUGAAAUUAUCUAUACUUAGAGAUGUAAUCCACAGCCUCUGUAUUUUGGCAUCACAUAGAUGUUGCAAGUACAGUAGGAUUAAAUCAGUUAAAUCAGUAUUUCAAUAGCUUAAACAAGAAAUCAAUAGGGAAAAGAAAAUAACAGAAGAAAACAAAGCUCUCUGAAUCUCUAAGAUUGUUACAUAGAUCAGCAGUUAACUGAAAACGUUAACUAAAAAUCCACCCACAUUCCUUUGACCUUGUCCUAACUUCCACAAAGCUUCUAAUGUUAAAUGCCUGGCUUUGAACCUUCCUCACUCCUUGGGGAAAAAAGUAAGACUGAAUCAGUUUUGAGACAAUUUAUGUAUUUCUUUACUACUUCCUUUUUAUUUCCAAAGUGAAUUUUAAACAGUUUAAGUUUGUCCAGUGAUCAACAGAAGUAAGAAUUGUAUGGCUCAAAUACCUUGAGGAAGGCCCAGCUCUGAGACAAGGGUGACAGCCAGGUGCCACAUGAGGUGCUGGGUCAAUGGCCACUCUUGGCUGGAUUGUUCCCACUCCACAGGAUCACAGCAGACAAACACUUUAGAGCCUAGUCUGUCUCCCUCCAGUGACUGCAGAGAGACCCCCAUCAUGAGAGGACUCCUAAUCUAAUCACUCUAAUUCACUGAAUACUCAAACAAAGCUAGCUAGGCAACAUGAAUAUAGGUCCAGAUGUGCUUUUAGAAUUACAUAUUUCUGAGCAAAACACACUAGUCUCAGGCACUCUUCCAUGUGGUUACUAACAGAGCAUGAACUACCUCUAUAUUUAGUAUUUGAGGAAGAACCUGAGUGACAAAAAGCUUGUAUUUUUUCCCCAGAGAAAUAUUUUAUUUCUGAGUCAUAAGGAGGAAAAAUGAGAAGCAUGGGGAAUUAAAGCCAAGAUAGUCAGGCUCAAUCUUCUGUCCUGGAGUUCAGCUAAAAUCUGGAGUCCCCAGUGGCAGGAAACUUGUACAGGCUCACACACCUGCCAUGUAAAUUCAUUUCUACGGAAUGUGUAGAAAUGAAAUAACUCAGGAUAAUUGUGCCUAAAUGAAAACAUUUAGGACAUAGGUCUCUGUCCUAUUGAGGAUCUGCAAGCAGAGCUUUAUGAGAGUACAGCGGUGAUACAGGCAAAUAGAUAUACUGUUAGAAAUAUACAUGGGAUACGAUGCAGCAACUGAGAAACCUAAAGCAAAGGAUGGCAGUUUUAUUUAUGCAACACUACUUGCACUUAUUAGGUUCAUUUUUCUAUCAAAAAAUAAGUUCAUAUCAUCAACUUUUUGUUUUGCUGGGCCUUCCGUAUACCAUCAGCAACAGAAUUAUUUUUUCUAUAUGUGCCCUUAAUGAUUUGAAUCUUUCCUGUAGAAAAAUUCUCAGAAAAAUUCUAUGAAUGAAAGAAUUUCAGAUUCAGGACCAAAACUUAGUAUAACGUGUCUAUGAAAUAAUUUGAAGUCUUGCAAAAUGUAUUUAAUAGCAGGCUGAAAAAAAUAUAGAGUCUGAUAAAAAAAUCACACUCUUUUAACUAAAGAACAAAUAUUUGUGAAGCUAAUGUCCACUACCAUUUCAAAUCAGGCAGUGGACUGUGUGCAAAUACCAACAAAAUUGUUAACGAAUGGGUACUAACAACAUAGCUGAUGGCUAGUGUGCCUUUAUAAGCAUUCUUAUUUCACAAAUUAUUAUUAACUUUUAAAAAUGCAGAUUUAGUAAAAUUAAACUUUUUGUGAAAAGGGAAAGAUGGGAGAAGUAAAAGUAGUGACAACAGGAAAACAACAAAAUCAGAAUUUUUCAAAUCAUUUGCUUAUUAUUUAUCAAAUCAAUUCAUUCAGCAUUUCAACAUCUAUCAAUUCAAUGUAUUUGCAUUUAUUUUGCUUAGAAAUGCUAUUAAUUGAAACAAAUGCAUGAUCAAAAAUAAAUAGCCUCAACAUAAAACUGAAGCACUUUGAAAUAAUUUUAAAAAUCAAAGCUGUUUUGAUGAAAUAUUUAUUUCUUGGUAUCCACCACAGCUGAUGCUUUAGCAAAGUGCAACAUGCUAUGUAAGGUCCAGGAGGAAAUUUAUGCUAUGUUUCAAAGGUAUGUGAAACAAGUGAGUUUUGAUUCCCUGUAGUUUGCAGUGCUGUGUACUGAAACUGUAAUAUUUCUCUCCCAGGUUAAAAACUAUAAGUUGUCCGCUCAGGAAUUUUAAGAAUUUGUGUCAUGUAGAGACUUUUAGACUCCAGUUUCUGAAAUGAUAAUUCUUUUCAUAAAAAUAAAUUGCUUAAGCCCCUAUUUUUCCAUCCAAAGCAAGCUACAUGAAAGCCUGCUGAGCUGGGAAAGCCUGGAUCUCAAGGGCGCUAUGUUUUAUGCACGUGGGCUAACAUACACACUAAAAAUACAUUUACAUAAAAUAUAGAAAUUAUCCCCUUAUUCAUUUUUGCUCUCUUGAACAACUGAUGGACAUCUUGAACAUUAUAUUCUUUGAAAUGCACCAAAUAAAAACAAUCUAAAGUGCUAGUUUAGAAUAGCAGAUAAUUCUUUGUUUAAAAUUUCUGGCUAAUUAUCACCUGCAUAAACACUAAUUCUGUUCACUCACAUCACACAUUAGCUAUGACCUCCUCUUUUUUCCAUUUGGGAACCAGUCAACUCCUACUCAGAAAUGUUUCUUUCUGACACAAAAAUACAAAUAAAGUAUUGCAUAUGUCAUCAAACUCAUAAGUAGUUAAUAUUUCAUUAAAUCUGUUUUCACUCUAGAAUUUUUACAUAACUUUUUAGACAUAUGAUGCUCAUAAUAAAUUUUGAACACUUCUAUUUAAAGGACACUUUGCCCCACAGGUAGCAUAAGUACACUAAUAUUCACAGCAUAUAUAGAGGUAACAGCUGAAUCUGAGUUCGUUGACAACACAUUGUUUCAGGUAAGAAACAUAGACUUUCCCUACAAAAUCUCCCACCAAACAAAUAAAACACUUCCCUAGGGGAUCCAGGUUAUUGCAGUUUUUUCACUGACAUGAAAAUCUGUGGCUCUUUUUACAUUAAAAGCUUAUAAAUCAAGGAUUCUUCAGUUUUUGAGAAAUUCAGUACUGGUUGGAAAAAACCCAAACAUUUUGUCUUAGGCUGUACCAGUAAUGGGGACUACAAGAACAGUAUCAAACUCCUCAUCACAUUUAUAUAAGCUGGUUCAUUACACAAGAAAAUAUCAUUCUAUCAUUUCCCUUUAUUACUUUUUUUCACUUGAUCUGACUGAAUAAAAGCACUUCAAGUACAUCUGUGAUUGAAAAGAAGACUAAAACAGAAAGAAAAUAUUUUAAAUAUGUGAACUUGCCUUUGUGAAGAAACCCUUACUUUUUGUUGUAGUUAGCUUGCUGCACCAUAAAUGCUAAAGUGGAUGUGACUCCCAGUGUUUUGUUGACAGGGUAGUGUCUGCUCACCAAGUUUAAAAAGACAACAAACUUGGACAGUUUCCAUUCAACUGGAGGAACAUUAUGAUAACAGAUUUUCCUGAAACCAUCAGAAACCAGCCUAGACAUGUUUUUCUGUAAGGCUCAGGGGUGAAGUAUGCUGACUUUUUUCCUCAUCCAUUUGCUACCAGCUUUACCCUUUUCCACAGAGGAGAGCAGCCCAGCACAUCUGAACCUCAGCCAGCCAGGUACAUAUUUACAACUCAUUGCCAAGGAAAUCCCCUCCUCUUUCACAGGUCUCCACCCACAGGAAAGGAAUAUUUCUUUGAGAUGGUGCUGAAGAUGCCUCUUGGCAAUAGCAGCAGCUAAAUGUCUGUAACACACAAUGAGCCUCUAAAAUCACAAAACAUCCCAUAAUUUGGAAUGACUGGCAUCAGCUUUCAAGUGACUUGAGCACGAAGCAUGGUUAAGGUCAGAGUGAGAUUUGUAUGAGGGAAGGGAAUGCCAGAGCUGCUUCCCCUCCUGUUUCUGGACUUAACCACCACAGUACCUCAGCCACCAACAUAAGCACCAACAUAUCCCUCCUUGACACCAUUCUUCUUUACCCCACCACUACCAAAAUCAACCCAUUGCUUGACAGUUCAGCAGUCUUAGGAAGACUUAACUCACCUUUUUUACACCCUUGAAUAUCUACUCACCCUUCUUGUUUAAUUUCACAUUGUUAUUUUUUUUCCUCACAGCUGUGGUAAAACCCACAGAAGGAAAACACAGACACAAUAUAUGGAAGACUUUCAAUCAUAAGGUUUCAUUCUUACAUAAAUGUAGGGGCUAAUGCAUAAAAUUUUGUGAAGAUUAACACCUUAACUGAUGCCAGAUCAGUGUUGUCCUUAGUAUUACAUAUGUUCCAGUUGUGUUAUUUAAAGCUCUAUUACACAGCUUUGAUAUUUGCAUUAGACUUCCUGGAAAUGUUUAGGUUCUUUAUUUACAACUCAGUGCUCUCUGCUUACUCUUGCUUGAACUAUCUUUUUUCUCUAAGUUACCACAUCUCUUAUCAGCUUCGAGGCUCCUUCCUCUUCUAUUAGAAUUUAGCACUGUGUUGAUGCUUAAAGGUUCUUCUGUAAAUUUACCAGUGGCUUUUAAAGUUAUAGCCGAAAAACUUCUUUAUCAACUGAAAUAUAAAACACUUGAAUAUGCAAUCAUGUGUUGCAAGAAACAACACUAUGCACAUAUUUCAGGGGGUUACAGAUGUUCAAUGAGAUACUCUCAAGAACAGUAGAAAUACAGGGUUGGUGACAUUGCUAGCAGACUUUGCUUUAAAUUUUUUGUUAACAGUGUACAGAUUUAUUUAGAGGGGCUUCUGAUUCAUAAUCCUUUUCUGUACACCCAGACAGUCAGUUCUGAGUAUUCAGGGACUUUGUGGGGAUACGUAAGAAAGGAAACAGUGAGAGCAUGCAUAGAGGACUUCAAGCUUGAAGUUGUUGGGGGUUUUAACUUAAAAGAGCUCUGGGCCAUACCCAGAGAGAGCAUUGUUCUUGCUUUUUUCUUCCCUGUGUUCACUGGGAUCAGAAUAAGCAUGCUUGAGAGGCAUGGGGAAAAGUGUGAAAGGAGAGAAAAGCACAUACAUUGAAAGAAAAGUGAGACUCAAGAGUAGAUGCUGGGAUAAAUUCAGAAUUCAAAAUAUAUAGAUAACAAGCCAAUAAAUUCCCAUGUGGUUCUGGAAAGAUGCUCCCAGACUGACUUCUGGAAAUAUCAAAAGUAUCUCUGUCAGCAGAAUCAGCAGUAAAUCUGUGGGCUAGACAACAAACAAAAUAAUACACACCUGAGCCACAACAGCUGUGUGUGCACCAAAGGAUGAGGAUGACUGUCUCUAUCUAUAGGUAGCUCUAUGUGCCUGCUCUCCACAGGUAGUUGAACCUGGUUCUCAAGAGUUUCCAUUAUAAGAAAAGGUUGAGAAAGAUUCAAAAGUCUUUCCUCUGUGAAUGUGUGAUCAUACAAAUUCUGGAAAGCAGACAGAUAUUCAGCACCCAUCUCAAGACAUGAUCACAACAUUUGUCUCAGAACUUAGCAGUUCCUUUCAUUUUUGAUUGAUAUCUCUUUGCUUUGAAGUUCUAUGUGAAGACUUCAAAUCACAUUUCAUGCAUUCAUUUAAUGACUACCACACAGAAAAAAAAUCCCAAACACUUUUUAAAAUUAUCUAUCUUGCUGACUUUAAAUCUAAUCUGUCCUGCAGGAAAAAAAUAUCUUUGUUUAUUAGCUUGAGAAUUUACUAAUAUAUGUUUUGAGAUGUAUUGAUGUGUUUCAAAUCCAGAUGUCUGCAUCCUCCACUGUCAGAAUGUGCUUUUUAGUUUUGCUAUUUCUCCUUAAACCAAGAAGAAAGUUAUUUUUGAAAACUUCCAAACACAUGGCCAGGUUAAUUGUUCAUCUAAAAUGUACAUAUGCACCCACAUAAACAGGAAAAAGAGGAAAAAAAGAGAAGGAUGGCAAGACUAUUGCUUUUUAGGAAAUAUAUCAGAAAUAUUUCUCCAGAGCACUUAAGGGCACUAAGGUAAAGAUUUCUAUGCAAAUAUUGUAUACCAAUGAAACAGUGCUUUGACCCACCCCACUGAGCCUGCUGCAAUUAACCAAGCCAGUUAGUAAAAAAUGAAAUUAAAGCACCAUAACUGAGUGUUCCAGUAAUGAUGUUCUUAGCAGCUCUUGGGAGAUUCUAAGAGACAGUCCCUUGCAAAUAAUAGCAUGGACAGCAAUGGAUUAAUAUUUUAUUUGUAUUUGAAAUAAAUUUAGCCUAUGCUUUCUCAGACACAUCUUCCGAGACCAAGUUAAACAUUAAAAAAAUAAUAUUCAAUUAUUCACUGUUCAAAAUCCAACAGACACAUUCAGGGCAAAUAACCUGUGGAGACUUAUUGGGCUAAAAUUUACAUAAAAUGCUCAGUGAAAUGGCUAAAAGCACAAGAGCUGCACUUAAUGCAGUAGCUUCAUAAAAUUACCAUCCAGAAUGCUAUAUCUUUUGUUUGAAAAUUCAGUAAUUUAACAGGAAACUUCUGCCCUUCCUGACAAGGUCAUGAUAAUUCACUGUGUAAUGCUCCAUUAGGUCAUUAAGGCUGUUACCUACCACCUAUCAUCCAUGUGGUUUUACACCAGGUUAAAUCCAUGCCAUUGCUGCACAGUGCAAAACAGCAAGGAAAAGUGAAGGGCAAGAGAUAGUAAACAAUACAUCUUGUAGUUCCACUACAGUGUCCAGUACACAAGGGCUCUGCUAGGAUUCUAUUCUCAGUGUAACUACUGUGUAAUGGCCACAGCUUGUUGCCAUGAAGCUGGUUUGCCAUUUUGGGCCACCUCACAGUUGGCUCAGUUCAACACCUUAAACUCUCUUGCUGAACACUGCCGUGCCAUUCUCUUGGGGAAGCCUCCAAGUGUUGUGGCAGCACCUGACAGGGAAGUGGCUCCCUGGUAGUGCCUCCCCACCCUGGGAGCCACAGAGCAAGUGUUGUUACAUAUCACAGAGCUGCUGUGCAAACACCUGGGAACAGUUUCCCUCCAAUCUUCUGUGUCUUUUGAAACCCUCUUCUUUUGUGUUUGAUCUAAAAAAGACAUGCUAGAAUUAUGAGAUAUGUAGGCACAAUCAUUUAAUAAACACCAUUCUGGUCAAAGCAAAUUGGAAUGGACACUUGCAAAAACUGUUUUUGAUCAAGAAGGUAAGCAAGGGACAGGAACAGUAUUAAAUCAAAUUGCAGCCACAUGCAGCAGGUGUCAGAUAUGCCUUCAGUAGUUGCUAUUGUGAAAACAAGACAGAACUCAUUUGUUGAAGGUUGUGUUAAGGUGAUACAGGGUUUUUCUUCAGGUCUUAUCUUUUCAUAUGAAGUGCUUAUCAAGUAUGUAUGGGCUUUUAUAGCCUCUGUGAAAUGAGCAACCUCUGACAAGCUCCUGAGGGACAGCUGUUUCGCAACUUCUAACACAAGUAGUCCAGCUGUUGGUGCUGUGACAGGCACCUAGAAGAAUUAACUACUGUGAUCUGCUGCCUGAUGCCACCAAGGAGAGGCAGAAAGGGAUCGGUGGAGUUAAGGACGUUUGGCACCUGAUCACAAUCCUGUUCUGCAUUACACAGAAGAGCACCAGAGUGACAGACUGUGAUGGAGCAACUGUCUGCCACACCAUGUGUGGAGUUAAAAACACCAGAAGAAUCUGAUGCUACCAGUGACAGAGGAGGACUGUGCAAUGUAAAUAUGAAAUUAUUUGAUUAAGCCCUUCCCAAGACACAGCCCAGAUGUAAACAAUCUGCUUAUCUAUUUCUCAGUGUCUUAGAGCACAUUUUUGCAUGCAACACUCAUGCUUAGUGCCUGAUUUCAUUUACAUCACUCAGAGGAAUGCAAAAAGUAUUAGGUUUGUAUCUCUCCAAAGACCACUGUAAACUCUGACACAUUUAUGUUGCCUUUAAAUCCUACUAGAGCUCUACUUACUCCCUACAACACAAUUAACUGUGGAGUGAUGAACAAGGGUGGCAAAAAUAAGCAUUCUCAGUCUCCUGAAUAUUUUGGUUCCUUUUCAGCUAAAUAAUUAAUAAUUCAAAAUCCAGACACAAGCCAUGGGGUGUCUUCAGAGUAACUGAUUGACUUUCAUAGAAUAUUUAUCUUUGGGAGAAUAUUUAUUAUACCAGUAGGUCUUGGGCUUUUAUUAUCCACUUCUUUACUGCACUCAUUUCAUAACUAUUAAUGCUAGAUACAUUAGUAUCAGCUUGAACAUUAGAUUAAUUCUUGCAGUUUUACUUGAAUAGCAUAGCAUUUCUUUCUUAGUAUGCAGAUCUAGGAACUGAUAACACUAGUCUCCCCCUGAACUGAAAAUGUGCUUGGAAUACAUGAAGUCAGAAGCAUCUUCAGUAUAUGACAGCAGUUAUAGCCAAGUCUAAUCCCAUUGUCCAUCUCAAAACUGAGUGAACUGAGUCCCAUUACUUUUAGCAUUUCUGUGUCAUUAUAAAAGAAUAUUUCUGACCCAAGCCUGUACACUCAACAUGACCUGCAUUUGAAAUUAAUCCCUUGCAAGCUUCAUACAAUAGGAGCACCUUUCUUAGUUGCUAUGAAACUGUUGAAGCCAAGGAAAGGGAAAAAGCUUUGUGUCUUGGGAACACUACCUCUAUGGAGCCCAUUAUUCAGGUUCUAGAAGAUACCUAGGGUCACACUUGUCAUAAGAGGACACUGGUUUAACAUUUUUAUGCACAUAACAGCUACAUAAAAAUAAUGUAUGCUCCUUCUGCUCUAAAUGUUGGAGCAGGAUUUUUACCCCUUGGUAAUGCAUUAGAGCUAGACCACUUACCAAAAGUUACAUGUUGCAUCACACUAUUCACUGCCCUUUUUCAAUAUAUGUGCAUGUCUUCAUAUGCUUGUCACACACAGAUCCAUAUAUUCUCUCAGACUUGAAGACAGACAAAGGGUCUCAAGUACCCAGAAGUUCCUCUGGUUUUGUUUGUUGUUUUCCCAGAGAUGACACUUGAGCCACUUGAAAUCUGUGGCAGUAGCAAACUUUCAUAGAAAUUAUAGGAAAACCAGGGGACUUGUCAAAAUGCCGUGUCACUUGAGCACUUCAGAAAUGUGAUAUCCUAGUCAUCUGAGCAAUCCUAACCAUUCAGAGCAAGCUGAAAUUUUCAGGAGACAGGUGUCUAAAAACCUUUCAAUAACUGUGACAGCAGUGCCUUUGUAGUUGUGAUGGCCAAAGGCUAUGAAGAAAGCAGGGGCUUUGUGCAGGUAUUACCUUCUAUUAUUCCAAAACAGAAGGAGGUCAUUCCAGCAGUUUCUUUUUACCUUUCAGACAGGGUGACCAUGGUCUUGAAAAAUUGCCUUAUCUAAGUACAUUAAAUCCUUAUUUCAGUAAUAAGGUGGAACAACAACUUCAGAGCAACUUCAGAGCUUCUCUCACCCAUUCAACCAGCACAGCCAGAACUGCAUGCCUCCAGCAGAUCAGUUCUUGCAUCUCAUCUGAUGCAUGGUAUUAUGCAUCAUGGAAUUAGCUAAAUAACAAUGACAUGGAGUUUCAAUGAAAUUUUAAUGACAGCAUAUUUCCAUUUUUGUGUUGCCUUCUCCACAUGUUCAAAUAAAAAUGAUAGUUUUAAAAUUUUACUGAGCUUUAAGUGAUAUGGAAGUGCUAAAAAAUACUUUGGUGACUUUAAGCUUGAAACUGUGAAAAUAGGUGCUUUGGUCAGCUUUUAAAAUUCUGCCAAGAAUAAUACACAGUCUGAGGACACAGAAUAACACGUGAACUUUAAGACUUUCCUUAAGUAAAUCAAAUUUAAAAAAAUAUAUCUGAUUUGAAUUUUAUGGAGUAAAAGUAAGCCAAAUAAGUGAUGUUACUUCAGAGGAAAAGAUUAUGAGUGGAAAAAAAAAAAAACCACAAUUUUCCAUUUGCUCAAGAGUAGGUAGCAACUGCUUUCCCAUCAUCAUUACAUAUAGAAACACCUGGUAUCAAAUUGAAACAACAGAAGACCAGAUAUGUUAAACUUUCUAUAAUUGCUUUGAAAUCUUAUUUUCUCCCACCUGAAAGUAGCAGGAUUGUGCUCAUUGUUUUAAUUCCUAAAUGAGACUUAUAAACAUUUCAUAUUAUUCCAAUCUGUCUCUGCAGUAUUGCAGCAAUGGCAAGCACACAGAGAAAUCUUAAUGAAGCACUCACUACAGACUGUAAACACAGAGGAUGCCAAGGUGUCAUGUACAGUACUGAUAGAGGUUAAUACCUUCCACAGUCAUUAGGUUUGGAUUUGGGGAUGUUUGCACAGUAGUCAAUGCAGAUAAAAUUCAAUUGUAUGCUAGCAGCCUGUGAAAACCUCAUGCAUCAUUGAAUCUCUCCGUUACAUCGUGGGUCUUAAUGGGAUAAAAUUCAUCUCUGGGUACAACAUCCUUAUGUAUUGCUCGCACUACCAUGGCUUUCCUGGGGACAUAGGAUGGUGUAUAUUCCCAUAAAAAUCAGUGCAGAGGGCAUUAUCAACUCUCUUAAGAUGUAUUAAGAAGAGGUACACUUGAAGUGCUGAAGCAGAAGAAAGCUGAGGACACAUCUGUACUUCACUGACACCCAAUGACUUCCAUGUAAGCAAAGCUGGGAGUGGGGCUGUUGCAGCAAAACCCAUUAGCGGCAGACACACCGAUACAUGCACCCAGAGUUGCAAGAACCAUACUAGAACCAGGUAAACCAGGCAAGAUUUCAACUACAAAAUGAAAUGAUAACUUUUUGAAAGAAAAUUCGUGUGCUACAUAUUUUAAAAGAAAAAAAGAUGUAGAAUCAGUGAGAUGUUUUCAGGUCAUUUUUCAGGUCACAGUGAUGAAAAAUGCAAAAAGUAUCGAGAUGAGGACCUUCUAGUGUGAAGGUCAAAUUCCCAUGCAGUAGCACCUUUAAUUAUUACCAGAAUUCCUAGAUGUUAUGACUGCACUGUGACAGUUAAUAUGAUAUCUAACUAUAUUCCUUUCUUUGUGUCAUCUGGCAUACCAGCUCACUGUACAUUCCCACAGGAUAAAUGGCAUAUGUUCCUCCCUUAACAAAUGCUAACCUAGUCACAGUUUUACAGUCUUAGAAUUGUACCACCAGUUGGAAUUACAAAAAUUACAUUCACUAAUCUGAAAAACAGCACUCAAAAUAAGAACACCUGCACAUUUUAGUUUUUGGUUUUUUAUUCUUAAUAAUAUUUUUUAAAUAAUAGCUGUCCCUUUUUUGGGUUAUUUGCACAGCUUCUGCCUGCAAAAUUGUCAAUUGUUCCAAAAAGGACAGAUUAUAGCUUGUCAAAAAGCCUGAAAUUGAGCCAGUGACAGCCUGAAACCUAUUCCAGAUUCCAAAAACAUAUUGCAAUGCCUCUACAUUUUUCUUUGGCAGCUGGUUACUAAAAUCUUAGCUGCAGUGCAGGUAUGAAAAUGAUAGAGAUUGAAUUAGAAAGAUGUUCAGAGGAAGCAUUCAUUCCACAAGACUGGAUGCCUGACUGAGGAAGAAGGUUUUUGUUUUAUCCUUAGAACAGUAUUGGUUUCAUAUGCAGACAGGUGAGUUUUAUAUUCACAUAUUCUCUUCAUCCCACGCCUCUCCUUUCCCUCUGUCUCCUGCAGGCAGCAAUCAUGCCUCUUUGAUAGUUAAAGUAAAUGGCUAAAAGGCUGAAUGGGUUUCUGUCAGCCAACUGUAUACUGAAACCAGUUGGGCUCUUACAAAAGAUAAAAUCAGAUGAAUGCUGUAAAUGGCAAUAAUGUUCACAGAGGAUAAAAUUUAGUAAGGAAUUAACUGUAUAUAUUACUUGACCCAGAGACUACUCCAAAGUGACACAAUGUGCAUAAAAGGACUUAAGAAAUAAGUGCUUAGGAUACUUUCCAAGGAUACUUCCAGGACAUUGCAGCUUGAAUUUGAGCACCUUUUAUUCUUGUCCUGUACCCUCUGCUCAGUCUUGCCAUCUAAAUAUCCAGGGCCCAGUUUAACACGAGCACAUGCCUUGCACAGCCUUGAACAUACACAGCAAACUGCCUCCUGCCCUGAGCUGAGAGUCUCCUGUGCACAUCUUGUUGUCCAGAUGUGACUACAAACGGUAGAAAGCCACGACUUCAUGGACCCUGAAUAUUAAACAAAGCCAUUGAUGUUACACAGUUCCCAAAUCUGCAAUCUAUCCCAGUAUGACUAUAUUGUUUUCUCCUUCUGCCUCUACAAGCUCCUAUUUAUAGCACAAUCACCUGCUCCAUUUGAGUGCAGCACAAGUCCUUGAAAAUACUGUCCUUUCAUGAUGAGCUACACUUUUACACAGCUUUACAGGCUAUCUCCUCUAUCCGUCUGGCCUCGGACAAUCAGUCACAGUGCCAAAAUUUGAAACAAGUUUACAGGGUGGCCUCUAAAACUUUAUGAUGGCUCACUUCAUUUGCAGCAGUUUCCAACAGGCACAAGCCAUCCUUCCCAAAGCUAACAGGAGGCACAGGUUUCUCCUGUUUUUCUGAUCACAAGGCAAGAGGUGAACCUAUUACAGCAGGUUAAAGGGUGGAGAGGAUUGAAUUUUUUAGAUAGGUUUAUAGAGGGGCAAGUUAAUUUAAACAGCUGGCAAAAAGCCUACUGCAGUUUUAGCCAUGAUGAAUUCUGAGAUUAUUAUGGGACCAGAUGGGCAUUGUCCUGUAAGUAAUUGUAUAUUCUCUGGAGUGGACAGGGGGCCAUUGAACCAUCUGUUUUGUUGUUGCUCCAAAGAGUGCCUUAUUGCUGUCUGUGUCUGCUGUUUCCCUACUUGAAUCUCCUAGGCCUACUUUACAUCAACUUGCUCAGACACAAGAUGCCCUCUUGUUUUAAGCAAGAAAGAGAAUUGCAUUUGCCAUCCCAGCCUGCCAUGCUAUGCCAGUAGUUUUCCUGUCUUCACAGUUCGCUGCUUUUGCUUGCUUUUUUUAGCUUUUUUUUAGCUUGUGAAAUGUAUUGGAAUGGACAAUAGAUUUACAGGUCUUUUAGCAUUCUGGUGGUACCACUCAAUGCUGCCCAGAGUUAAAUUUGUAAAUAAUAAUGCCUAGCUCUCACAAGGCAUUUUUCAACAGAAGAAUACAAAACUUUUCACAUAGAGGUAAGCAUCACUAGUCUUAUCCCAAAACUGAUAAAAUUCAGGGACACAAGAAAGAAUCAUAGCCUAAAACCAGGAAAUUCAGAGAUACUCAGAAUAGGAUCAAAUGAGACUGUAUGGAUGAGGUACACACAAAUCUAUAUAGGCAUUCCCUAUAAGACCAUGCAUGAAUGAAAGAAACACAGGAAAUAAGCAGGACCUAAAAUUUCUUGCAUGGGGCCAAAACUGGGCUUUAGUUGCUGUACAAGACAGACAGUGGUAUAAUUCAUGUGUCUGACCUCUCUGGGUAGUGUUUAAAUGCCCAAGUCUAUCACCGAAGCCUUUUAACACUGAAUCAGUACAAAGUUAUCUAAUGGCAUCUCUUUCAGUGUGGUGUGAAUAUUAUAUUCCAGAGGGUCCCCUCAUAUCCUUUAUGAAUCUCUUUAAAUAUAUGUAAAUAAUUGCAAACAGGACCUAAUCCAGAAGAAAAACUGUAACCAUGACUUUAUAAAUGAUCCUGUGUCAUCCUCAGGAGUAUAGGACCUAUUCUAAAGGAUCAAAUAAAAAAAUCAGCCACUCAAUUUUAGAUGAGAUGCUCCAACUGAGUGAAAGAUCCAGUAUGAUCCAGUGGGAUUUGCUUAUUUUUAGCCUGUACCGUUACUCUGAAUGGGUAUGCAAAACAUUUCUGAGGCUAGUUAUUCUUCAUCCUGGAAAAAAAAUCGUGGACAUUCUGGACCUCCUCAGUUAAUCAAAGAUGAAGAGUCUUUUCAUUAUCUGGAGAAUUAUACCCUUCAUUGCUCUCUUCAUUGUUGAGAUACCCCACCACAGAUCUCCAUAUCAUUACGGAUAAGCUACAUAUUUCUGAAAGAAAUGUAGAGUCAAUUUUUUGUUAUUUAAAUCUGUGAAAUUAACUAAUUUAAAUUCCUCAUGGGCCACUGAUUCAGAUAACAUGAAUAGAGGGUUUUUUUAAAUAUUUAAAACCUUUGUUGAACAUCAGCUCAAUUAAAAACAAGCUCUAUGUUAAAAGUAUUUUUCUAAAGUAUAUGGGGCUUGAAUUUUUCAUUUCUUUUUCAAACUAACUUGAGAUUUGUGAUUAGUUUUCUCAUUUUUAUCAUUAAACCCUUUAAUAGAAAUCUUAGGGAAACAGUGCUAUUUCUCAGAUUUUCCUUAUACCUUGGUGUUUUUAGAUCACUAUGUGUGUAAAUAUUCUUUCUUAUGUUAGCCUAGAGUCUAUACAUUUUCCUCAGAGAAAAUAAAAUUGAGCAGCCAGUUGGCUCACACCACACACCAAAAUGUCCCCAGAGCAGCAGAGGUGCAUCCAUGACAGCAGACAAGGACAUAAGCUGGGUAUCAGAGCUGUACAUAAGUCCCAGGCCAUAACUGACAUGAGCCUUCUGUUCACUGUGAUUUCAUCCAUAAUCAUUUGGCAUGUAAUUUACAAUGCUGUUCAUUAUCCUGUCUCAAUGUAUGGGGAGCAAGGGUCAUUAGUACAUAUCUCAAAGGUUCAAAUUUUAAAUUAAAUCUCAGCAUCUUUUUGGGAAAUGGCUUUUAAUUUCAUGACUGAAAACUCUUGUAAUUCCUUUUUCCCAAGUACCCUCAAGAGGCUUUUCUCAUGCACUAAAAGUAAUCAACUUGUCAGAACUUAGAAACUUCACUGGUACCUUAUGAAAUUCUAAAUUGCUGUAAGGUCAUUUUUUCAUUUUACUAACCUUAUGAAAAGUUGCAUCUCUCGUCUUUUCUCAUAUAUCAAGUACAUUUAUAUUGCUAGUAGUUUACACUUUAUUCAGGUACAGCAUGCUUCAGCUUUUCAAAUAUUACAGAAUAAUUUGAUAUACUAAAAGCAUGAAGGAAAGAGCUAAACAUAAAAAAAACCCCAAAAUUCACACUUUUCUUUCUGGUAAAAUGCUGGAAUACUCCUUACUUUUUCCAGCUGCAUUAGACAUAUGCUAAUGUAAAUACACUGCAGAAAAUUAUUCAAACCACCUUUUUCUUAAAAUUAUACUUGUUUUAAGAUUGCUAGGGUUUUAAUUAUAUCCAUCUUACUCAGUUCACUUUUCUUUCCUGCUAUUCUUAAGACAACAGACAACACUUCAAGAUUACCAUCUUCCUGAAUAUAUGCAACAGACUUGCGAUGGACUGAAAAACUGAUUUUACACAAGUAUGGAAAAUAUCAGGUGCAAGUCCCAUUGGGAAUUUGGUUUAUUGAUGCAUGGCAAAAGUGCAACAAAUUCUUCAACAAUAGGAUUGCUAUGAGAUGUGAUAAGAAAUAAGUCUUGCAGGAGACAGUCAAGUCAAACUCAAUAAACCAGUGGAUAACACUUCCUUUGUGGCAGGUGAGCCAAAGCAAUAGGAAAUGAAAACCUAACAGCACAGUUCUCAACAGCAUGGUGCAUCCCUUAAUAUUGACCAGAAGAGGAAUGAACAUGCACCCUCAGUACAUGGCACUCAUGCAGCCUCUGACCAGCAAGACUCAAGGCCUGAGAUGACUCAAAUUCCCCGCAGCUGCAGAGACAGGUCUGGAAGUAAAGGUGGAGUGUGGGUGUUCUCCAUUGCAGGCUGCAUUACCAGCAGUAGGGCCCGCACAGAGACCAUCAGACCUGGUACUAUCACGCAUAGUUUUACCUCAUGCAACAUUCUCAGGAAAAGGAGAACCAAGGGGAAGCUGCACACUCAUUUCUCAUCCACAAUACAAGAAUGUCUCCCAAGAAAGGAACCAAAGACAGACCUAGCCCAGAAACAGUACCACAUCUUGUUUACAUCUGAGGCAAAGAGGCUACCUCAGAAUGCACUGACACAGCAGGUAGCAUUCCUUCAUAUUAUCUGCUGCAGCCAUGUCAGUUUGAACACAGCACUAGGUUCAAACCAACAGCAUCCCAAGAAAUGGGAAAGGUGUUACACCAUUGUGUUUCUGAAGGUUGAACACUGUGGUGUUGGUUUCUGGCAGCGAUGUUUCAUAUAUUCCUUACAUCUGAUGCUGUAAGGUGUUGAAUGCAGGUAAAACCUAAGCAAGGGCACAGAAGUUAUCCCUGGAGACAACAAAAAUUGGGUUGGACAGAAGUCUGAGUGACCUGAUCUAAUUAUAAAUUUUUCCUGCUUCUUGCAGGGUGGUUAGACUACAUGGCCAUUAAAGGUCCUUUCCAACCCAAAUUAUUCUAUGACUCCCAGUAUGUUUACAAAUCC